UACGUAGGGGGCAAGCGUUGUCCGGAAUCAUUGGGCGUAAAGCGCGUGUAGGCGGCUCGGUAAGUCUGCUGUGAAAGUCCAGGGCUCAACCCUGGGAUGCCGGUGGAUACUGUCGAGCUCGAGUCCGGAAGAGGCGAGUGGAAUUCCUGGUGUAGCGGUGGAAUGCGCAGAUAUCAGGAGGAACACCGGUGGCGAAGGCGGGAUCCUGGGCCAGUACUGACGCUGAGGAGCGAAAGCGUGGGGAGCAAACAGG
rnacentral:rRNA from 1 species